rnacentral:ncRNA from 1 species
CCAAUAUCAAGAGUGGUGAAUGUAAAGAGUACUAGCUCAAUGUCACCCGACAACUUGCCAUAAACAGGCGGAGUGUCAAAUCUAGCCCUAUUUGGGGAAGAUAUAGU